GCGGCCUUGGGCGCGGCUCUCUCCGCGCAGAGGUUUCAUGGCUUGCGUCAAUCUUUUGAUAUCCUAGAGUAAUUGCUUCCAAUUUUUGGGCAUCGCCGCCUUAGUUUACAGAAUAGUAUGGAUCUGAGUGCCAGAGCCAGGAAAACGAUGCGCACUGUAAGCCGCAAAACGCUGAGCACCCAGGAAAGAAGCCAUGGCGCUUGACUUGGUUGAAGGCCAGCGCGCAUGCGCGAGUUGCCCUUCGCGCACUGAGAGAGCUCUUGCCAGUCCUCCCUCCCGGCUUCAGUCUUCGCCGCUUGCUGUGGUCCUUUCCCGGUCGCUAUUGGAAGAACCGUGAACUAUGGAAGGCCUCUCUGGAUUGGCUGGGCUAGCCUAGGAAUAAGGAGAACCCUCUUUCUGGCGGUGGGGAAGGGACGGGGGCGAUUGGCGGACGCUCCUGGCAGGAGAGCGCGGAUUGGUCAGGCCCGGAACAGGAGGCGGGGCUGAUAUCCCAGCAGCGGCGGCGGUGGCGGCUGCGGAGCGACCGCGCUGCAGGCCCCGGCAGGGCGCGGCAAGAUGGAGGUGACGGGGGUGUCGGCACCCACGGUGACCGUUUUCAUCAGCAGCUCCCUCAACACCUUCCGCUCAGAGAAGCGGUACAGCCGCAGCCUCACCAUCGCUGAGUUCAAGUGUAAACUGGAGUUGCUGGUGGGCAGCCCUGCUUCCUGCAUGGAACUGGAGCUGUAUGGUGUUGAUGACAAGUUCUACAGCAAGCUGGAUCAAGAGGAUGCGCUGCUGGGCUCCUACCCUGUAGAUGACGGCUGCCGCAUCCACGUCAUUGACCACAGCGGCGCCCGCCUUGGUGAGUAUGAGGACGUGUCCCGGGUGGAGAAGUACACGAUCUCACAAGAAGCCUACGACCAGAGGCAAGACACGGUCCGCUCCUUCCUGAAGCGCAGCAAGCUCGGCCGCUACAACGAGGAGGAGCGGGCUCAGCAAGAGGCCGAGGCCGCCCAGCGCCUCGCCGAGGAGAAGGCCCAGGCCAGCUCCAUCCCCGUGGGCAGCCGCUGUGAGGUGCGGGCGGCGGGGCACUCCCCCCGCCGGGGCACCGUCAUGUAUGUAGGUACGUGGUCCGCGGGCCCCGGGGUCCCGGGCUGCAAGGCCGGGAGGAGACGUUGUGCACACAGUGGAGCCUCGGAGACCUCACGCUCUGCCUUGGGGCGCGGGGUGGGGGGGUUCGAAACGAUCUCAGUCCCUGGAGGUGGUGGAACCAUCGGCCGACACUGACCGCCCAGUGUUUGUGGAGGGAAGUGGGAGGCACAGGUGGAGUGAUCUGUCCAGCGAGGGAGGCAGCAGAGGCCCGAGCCACGCAGACUGUGCGCUUGGAAGCGUGGAGCACAGUGCCAGUCGCAGUGGGGAAACGGACGGCGUGACCAGGGCCGGAGUGAGGGGAACUAACACAGGGGGCUGUGUGAGCCCAGAGGAAGCACCUGGGAGCAUCUGAAGGAAAGGGGGCAGCAGCCAGGUGAAAAGGAAGGCAGAGUUCCUACCAGAAGGAGUAGCCGGUGCGGGUCUCACAGAUUUCAAGCCUGGCUACUGGAUUGGUGUCCGCUAUGAUGAGCCACUGGGGAAAAAUGAUGGCAGUGUGAAUGGGAAACGCUACUUCGAAUGCCAGGCCAAGUAUGGCGCCUUUGUCAAGCCAGCAGUCGUGACGGUGGGGGACUUCCCAGAGGAGGACUACGGGUUGGACGAGAUAUGACACCCAAGGAAUUCCACUGCUCCAGCUCCUAACUCGGCCACUGACUGCCCCUCCUGUGUGUGCCCAUGGCCCUUUUCUCCUGACCCCAUUUUAAUUUUAUUCAUUUUUUCCUCUGCUAUUGAUUUUUGACACUCGUGCAUUAAAUUCACUAGAAACCCGGAAA